rnacentral:misc_RNA from 1 species
GAUGAAGAACGCAGCGAAAUGCGAUAAGUAAUGUGAAUUGCAGAAUUCAGUGAAUCAUCGAAUCUUUGAACGCACCUUGCACCCUUUGGCAUUCCGAAGGGUAUGCUCGUUUGAGUGUCAUUGUACUCUCACACUUCCAAUUCUUUGGAUUGGGAGCGGUGGACUUGGGUGCUGCUGCUUACCGUGGCUCACCUCAAAUGUGUUAGUGCAACCGUUGGUUAGACAUAGUACAGCGUGAUAAGUAUCUUCGCUGGCGCCUCACCAGAGGGUGGCUGAUCGGGAGCUCUGUGCUUCAAACCGUCCUCGGACAACAACUGACAACUUGACCUCAAAUCGAGUAGGACUACCCGCUGAACUUAAGCAUAUCAAUAAGCGGAGGA